CACAGACGGUUUAUAUGAACAUUAUAUUAACAUCAGAAACAGCAGCAACAGAAAGUGUUCAUAUGAUAUGAAGGAGUUUCUGCUGAGCUGAGGAUAAACUGGACUGAACAGGGUGAAACGAGGUGAAAACUCUUCUGCACGUAAACGUGAGUUUUCAGAGCUUCCUGUGCUGAUGGACUCACUCGACUGUGGGAGAAGAAACUGUUCCCUGAACUCAGUUUAGUCAUGCAUCUGUGCUGUGAUAUGAACUUUUGGCUGACAGGAACUACAGCUCCCACAAUCCCCCAGAGAUUGUCAUGACUAAUGCUACACCCCCGCCCCCUGAAUGGCCUGAGAUCAGUUACAGCAAAGUAAAAAGUCAUCUGCAGAACAUUAGUUGGUCAUGUGACCUGUUCUCUGCAACAUGUUUCAGUUUCAUCACUUCAAUGCUGUUUUUACUGUGAUGGAUAAAUAACAGCAGCAGUAAUACUCUGAUUAACACUGGCAUUAGUAGUAAUCAUCGCUGUGAGUAAAAGAGUAACACGAGUAGUAAAGCAGCAGUAACUCUAAUAAAGUAGCAGCUGCAGUAAACCAGUAGUACCUGUAGUUAAACGCUUGUAACAGGCAGUAAAGUAGUGGGAGGUGCAGUAAAGCAGUGGGAGGUGCAGUAAAGCAGUGGUAGUUGCAGUAAAGCAGUGGGAGGUGCAGUAAAGUAGUGGGAGGUGCAGUAAAGCAGUGGUAGUUGCAGUAAAGCAGUGGGAGGUGCAGUAAAGCAGUGGUAGUUGCAGUAAAGCAGUGGGAGGUGCAGUAAAGCAGUGGGAGGUGCAGUAAAGCAGUGGGAGGUGCAGUAAAGCAGUGGGAGGUGCAGUAAAGCAGUGGUAGGUGCAGUAAAGCAGUGGGAGGUGCAGUAAAGCAGUGGUAGGUGCAGUAAAGCAGUGGGAGGUGCAGUCUUG